rnacentral:rRNA from 1 species
AUGAGGGACUGCAUGUGGUUCCUGGCGAGCGAGUCCCCGACGAAGGCCAUGGAGCGGCCCCUGACGGCGUCGAAGAAGGCCGCCGCGUCGAACCGCGGGAGCUCGCACUGCGCCGGCCGCCAGCGCCACCUAAGGAACCCGAGGUCGGGGCGGCCGUACUUCAUGCAGUUCUGGUGCUCCUGGAUCAGCGGGCAGGUCCGGUUCGUGUAG